GAUGAACGCUGGCGGCGUGCCUAAUACAUGCAAGUCGAGCGAACAGACGAGGAGCUUGCUCCUCUGACGUUAGCGGCGGACGGGUGAGUAACACGUGGAUAACCUACCUAUAAGACUGGGAUAACUUCGGGAAACCGGAGCUAAUACCGGAUAAUAUAUUGAACCGCAUGGUUCAAUAGUGAAAGACGGUUUUGCUGUCACUUAUAGAUGGAUCCGCGCCGCAUUAGCUAGUUGGUAAGGUAACGGCUUACCAAGGCAACGAUGCGUAGCCGACCUGAGAGGGUGGUCGGCCACACUGGAACUGAGACACGGUCCAGACUCCUACGUGAGGCAGCAGUAGGGAAUCUUCCGCAAUGGGCGAAAGCCUGACGGAGCAACGCCGCGUGAGUGAUGAAGGUCUUCGGAUCGUAAAACUCUGUUAUUAGGGAAGAACAAAUGUGUAAGUAACUAUGCACGUCUUGACGGUACCUAAUCAGAAAGCCACGGCUAACUACGUG
rnacentral:rRNA from 1 species